AUACGUAGGGGGCAAGCGUUAUCCGGAUUUACUGGGUGUAAAUGGAGCGUAGACGGUAAAGCAAGUCUGAAGUGAAAGCUCGGGGCUCAACCCCGGAACUGCUUUGGAAACUGUUUUACUGGAGUGCAGGAGAGGUAAGCGGAAUUCCUAGUGUAGCGGUGAAAUGCGUAGAUAUUAGGAGGAACACCAGAGGCGAAGGCGGCUUACUGGACUGUAACUGACGUUGAGGCUCGAAGGCGUGGGGAGCAAACAGGAUUAGAUACCCUGGUAGUCCGUGCCGUAAACGAUGAAUACUAGGUGUAGGGGGUAUCGACUCCCUCUGUGCCGCAGUUAACACAUUAAGUAUUCCACCUGGGGAGUACGGCCGCAAGGUUGAAACUCAAAUGAAUUGACGGGG
rnacentral:rRNA from 1 species